rnacentral:rRNA from 1 species
AAUGGGCGAAAGCCUGACGCAGCCAUGCCGCGUGUGUGAAGAAGGCCUUCGGGUUGUAAAGCACUUUCAAUUGGGAGGAAAGGUUCGUAGUUAAUAACUGCGAGCUGUGACGUUACCUUUAGAAGAAGCACCGGCUAACUCCGUGCCAGCAGCCGCGGUAAUACGGAGGGUGCGAGCGUUAAUCGGAAUUACUGGGCGUAAAGCGCGCGUAGGCGGUUUGUUAAGUCGGAUGUGAAAGCCCCGGGCUCAACCUGGGAAUUGCACCCGAUACUGGCCGACUGGAGUGCGAGAGAGGGAGGUAGAAUUCCACGUGUAGCGGUGAAAUGCGUAGAUAUGUGGAGGAAUACCGGUGGCGAAGGCGGCCUCCUGGCUCGACACUGACGCUGAGGUGCGAAAGCGUGGGGAGCAAACAGGAUU